rnacentral:lncRNA from 1 species
CCUGCUUGAAGGAACCUGCUUGAGGGAACCUGCUUGAGGGAACGUGUGUGAACCUACCUGCGUAUUGAUUAAUUGUUAUGUCCUUCAAGCAUGAAUUAAUUAACACCGUAUGGUUGUUAUGUGGGUUCGGAAUAUUCAAUAUAAGCUCAGCUUCUACAAUUGAUUUAGUAGGAAUCAAAUCGGAGUGCGUCUACAGAGGAUUCAGAGGGGACCAGGCCUUCCGCGAUGAAUUUUUCUUACAAGAAACCCUUGGAGGAAAAGUACCCUGCAAAAUAUCAAGAAGUACAAACAACACU